GAGGAUAAUGACUGGCAAAUAAGUGUGGGAUCUCCCAGCGCAUAUAAACAGGCAACUUUUUGUGACAGAUGAAGAGGGCCAGCCAGAUCCUGGGGCUGGUGCACAUUGCUGGUCCUGCAGUGGUUUUCAGGCCAACUUUAGAGCUUACUUCUACCACCAUGGCUGCCAAAAGCCUGUCAGCAAAGUUUAGUAAACCUUGUGCCUUGUGACAAAUACAUUUACCAGCUGGAUGGAGCAUAUUUGCAGUGUGCUCUCUAUGGAGAUGCUGUCUCUGUGAAUUACUGUGGUGCAGACGAAAAACAUCUGGCAUUCCCUUCUGAGGAAAGAGGAAUUACAGUGAUUCCAGAUUACUGCUCUAUUUUAAAGAGGGCGGUGUGGCCCAGUGGGCUGGAACACAAGAGAUGGAUUCUCUACCAGGUGGUUUUCCACAUGAUACAACAUGGAAUUUUUAUUAAUAAUCAUAAUAAACAGAAUCAACGGCAUCAAAUGCAGCUCUCCACAUUUAGGGUGUUGAAGUCUGUGUGUGUAUGUUUAUUUUCUAAAUAAUGAAUGCACAAUGUAGAAGAAUAAGGCAGCAUCUAUUAAAAGAGCAUUCAUAUUUUCUGAUGCCUCAGUUUUAGGAAUUCACCAGAAAACAGCUAGAGCAACUGGAUGCAUCUAUGUCAAAUGACUUGAAAUAGUUGGUUUAGUGCAGGUUGUAAGGAAAAAUCUUCUGGACCUGUCAGCAUUGAUGCUUUUUUCAAUAAUUUUGUUUCCCUACAGCACUAAAGGUGCUAUGAGACAUGAAAUAUUUCUGUAUAAAAUGGGAUCUGAGUGAAGUAAAUUUGUGAACCAUUCUAACUGGCAGUUCAGACUGGCAGUUAAGAGAUGCAGCAAUCUUGAAUUUAUGCUAUUUUUUCAUAAUGCAUGGUUACAUGUCCUCUCCUCUUCUAAGUGAUAGAUAGUUACAUAGAAAUUAGAAAGACCUCUAAAAUAAAUGUCCCAUAACCAUCUACUUGAUUUCA
rnacentral:lncRNA from 1 species